UACGGGGGGGGCAAGCGUUGUUCGGAAUUACUGGGCGUAAAGGGCUCGUGAGGCGGCCAACUAAGUCAGACGUGAAAUCCCUCGGCUUAACCGGGGAACUGCGUCUGAUACUGGAUGGCUUGAGGUUGGGAGAGGGAUGCGGAAUUCCAGGUGUAGCGGUGGAAAUGCGUAGAUAUCUGGAGGAACACCGGUGGCGAAGGCGGCAUCCUGGACCAAUUCUGACGCUGAGUGAGCGGAAAGCCAGGGGAGCAAACGGG
rnacentral:rRNA from 1 species